CCUACGGGUGGCAGCAGUCGAGAAUCAUUCACAAUGGGGGAAACCCUGAUGGUGCGACGCCGCGUGGGGGAAUGAAGGUCUUCGGAUUGUAAACCCCUGUCAUGUGGGAGCAAAUUAAAAAGAUAGUACCACAAGAGGAAGAGACGGCUAACUCUGUGCCAGCAGCCGCGGUAAUACAGAGGUCUCAAGCGUUGUUCGGAAUCACUGGGCGUAAAGCGUGCGUAGGCUGUUUCGUAAGUCAUGUGUGAAAGGCGCGGGCUCAACCCGCGGACGGCACAUGAUACUGCGAGACUAGAGUAAGGGAGGGGGAACCGGAAUUCUCGGUGUAGCAGUGAAAUGCGUAGAUAUCGAGAGGAACACUCGUGGCGAAGGCGGGUUCCUGGACAUUAACUGACGCUGAGGCACGAAGGCCAGGGGAGCGAAAGGGAUUAGAUACCCGUGUAGUC
rnacentral:rRNA from 1 species